rnacentral:rRNA from 1 species
GGCAAACGGGUGCGGAACACGUACAGAACCUUCCUUUAAGCGGGGGAUAGCCCAUAGAAAUGUGGAUUAAUACCCCAUAGUAAUGUUGUCUGGCAUCAGAUGAUAUUUAAAGAUUUAUCACUUAAAGAUGGCUGUGCGGCUGAUUAGGUAGUUGGUUGAGGUAACGGCUCACCAAGCCUGCGAUCAGUAACUGGUGUGAGAGCACGACCAGUCACACGGGCACUGAGACACGGGCCCGACUCCAUACGGGAGGCAGCAGUAAGGAAUAUUGGUCAAUGGACGCAAGUCUGAACCAGCCAUGCCGCGUGAAGGAUGAAGGCCCUCUGGGUUGUAAACUUCUUUUAUCUGGGAAGAAACCACUUUUUUUUAAAGGUGUUGACGGUACCAGAGGAAUAAGCACCGGCUAACUCCGUGCCAGCAGCCGCGG